GAGACCUCAGGUCAGGCGGGGCUACCCGCUGAGUUUAAGCAUAUCAAUAAACCGGAGAAAUUUAGG
rnacentral:rRNA from 1 species